rnacentral:antisense_RNA from 1 species
CAUUCUACUUUCUGUCUCUACGAAUUUGACUACUCGAAGUACCUCAUGUGAAAUGUUGGUGCCAAAUGAACUUUUCUGGUUCUUCUGAAUAUGCCACUGUUGCUGGAGAAAUGUCACUGCUAGAGAAUAGAAGACUAUUAUUCCAAAGGGUAUUUGAGACUGACUGAAUCAGGUCUGGAACAUUAUUGAAAUGAGACCCACAAAGGAAGAGAUACUGAGUGUAACUGGAUCUUGGUUCAUGCUGAGCUUAAAAUUUGAUCUUCUGAAUAUCAGCAGAAAGACUCUUUCUGGUGAAUACAGAUCUUCUAAGCAAUUAUCGACUGACUUUGUCAUUAGACUGCCCUUUCAGAAGUUGUCAGUGACAUGAAUCUUUGCUCCCUUCUUCAUGGAAUAUUUCUGAUCUAAUAGCCCCUAUAUUUCAAAAGAUGGAUAUAAACAUCAGAUGAAUAUCACAGGAAAGCUGGAUUGCUCUGCAGUGAGUGAAACGUGGAAAGGCCUUUCCCCACCAAGCAGUAGGCCAAAUUGUAACAGUAAGAUGUAUUUGAAAUAAAAUGGUUCAUAGAUCA